GACGAACGCUGGCGGCGUGCUUAACACAUGCAAGUCGAACGGAAAGGCCCUGCUUUUGUGGGGUGCUCGAGUGGCGAACGGGUGAGUAACACGUGAGUAACCUGCCCUUGACUUUGGGAUACCUUCAGGAAACUGGGGCUAAUCCCCGAUCGGUGCUCCUGCUGCAUGGUGGGGGUUGGAAAGUUGCGGCGGUUGGGGAUGGACUCGCGGCUUAUCAGCUUGUUGGUGGGGUAGUGGCUUACCAAGGCUUUGCCGGGUAGCCGGCCUGAGAGGGUGACCGGCCACAUUGGGACUGAGAGACGGCCCAGACGCGUACGGGAGGCAGCAGUGGGGAAUAUGGCACAAUGGGCGGAAGCCUGAUGCAGCAACGCCGCGUGCGGGAUGACGGCCUUCGGGUUGUGAACCGCUUGCGCCUGUGACGAAGCGGGAGUGACGGUAAUGGGUAAAGAAGCACCGGCUAACUACGUG
rnacentral:rRNA from 1 species